AGAUCCGUGUCGCUUCUGGAGACGAAGCGGAAGUCUCUGCGUACCUCCAGAAGGCUGGCGAGGGGCGUCAUGGCCGCGGACAGUGACGAUGAUGUGCCUCCAGUUCCAACGCCCUCUGACGGGACCUUGUGAAACCAUCUAAAUCCAUCAACGCCCUUAUCCCCAGGUGGUGUCAACAAAAACACACAACCUGCAGAGGAGUUUGUGGUUCGGGUUCCUGUGGUAGACGUGCAGAGUGACAACUUCAAGGAGAUAUGGCCAUCACUCUUGCUAGCCUUAAAGACAGCUAGCUUUGUGGCUGUGGACACGGAGCUGAGUGGGCUCGGGGAUAGGAAGAGUUUGCUGAACCAGUGCAUUGAGGAACGUUACAAGGCCGUGUGUCAUGCUGCCAGGACCCGUUCUGUCCUGUCCCUGGGCCUCGCCUGCUUCAGGCAGCAACCAGAUAAGGGUGAAAAUUCUUACUUGGCUCAAGUGUUCAAUCUCACCCUGCUAUGCAUAGAGGAGUACGUUAUAGAACCGAAGUCUGUGCAGUUCCUGGUACAGCAUGGCUUCAACUUCAACCGGCAGUACGCCCAGGGUAUCCCCUACCAUAAGGGCAAUGACAAGGGAGAUGAGAGCCAGAGCCAGUCGGUACGGACGCUGUUCCUUGAACUGAUUCGGGCCCGACGGCCCCUGGUGCUACAUAAUGGCCUUAUAGACUUGGUGUUCCUGUACCAGAAUUUCUACGCGCACCUGCCUGAGAACUUGGGGACCUUCACUGCUGACCUGUGUGAGAUGUUCCCAGCAGGCAUCUAUGACACCAAAUAUGCCGCCGAGUUCCAUGCCCGAUUUGUAGCUUCCUACUUAGAAUACGCUUUCCGGAAAUGGCACUGUUUUUAGGUGCUGAAGAUUCAGCAGUGAACAAAACACAACCCCCCCUGUUCUGGUGGAACUUAUAUGCUAGUGAAGCAAUACCUUCUUGCGCUGUUGCAGUGAGCGGGAGAAUGGGAAGCAGCGGGCAGCUGGCAGCCCACAUCUUGCCCUGGAAUUCUGCAGCUAUCCAUCUAGCAUGAGCGGGCACAUUGACUACCGCUGCUGUAUGUCCCCUGGGACCUGCCGUCGUUCUCGUACCACUGGCAUCUGUGACAAGUUCUCGGCCUAUGGCUGGUGUCCUCUGGGACCACAGUGUCCUCAGUCACACGAUAUUGACCUUAUAAUUGACACUGAUGAGGCUGUGGCAGAAGAUAAGCGGCGGAGACGGCGACGUAAGGACAAACGGAAGAGGUCUUUACAGAGCCAACCAGGGACACAGACCCUUGCGGAAGCUGAAGAUGGUCCUCCCACAAAACAGGUCUGUGAAGAUAGCCUCGAGACUGAGAAAAUGGAACAAAAAGUGGCAGAAGGUGAGGCUGGGGAUCAGCCUGGCUCCAGGGAAGGUCACACAAGUAGCUUGGAGAUGGCACAUAGGAGGACAAGUGCUGAAACAGCUGAUGUGGCCACCUCAGAGCUGCUGGUGAACCAAGCCAGCACUAACCCCGUGCCUGGGGACGGACUGCAUCGUGCUGGUUUUGACGCCUUUAUGACAGGCUAUGUGAUGGCCUAUGUGGGCCUGAGCCAGGGACUUCAACUCUGCAGCUCUGAACCUUGGCUUCCUGAAUGUCACAACAAGGUAUAUCUAAGUGGCAAAACUGUACCCCUCACAGUGACCAAGAGCCAGUUUUCCCGUCCAUCCAAAGCCCACAACCAGAAAAUGAAGCUGGCUUGGGGCAGCAGCUGACUCCAACAUCUGCCUGGUAACUAGGCCCAGGGAAAGAAGCGAAGAGUAGGAGAAGAGAUGUUUGGCAGAGUGUAGUGGCUUGUGUUGGUCAUUCCAGGAACCUAAGGGCUAAGGCAGGAGGACUGUUACAAGUUCAUGGUCUACAUAGUCCCAAGUCACCCAGAGCUAUACAGCAAAAUCAUAUUUCAAAAAUAAGUCAUUUGAGUCUUUAAUCUAAUUAUGUCACAUUUAACUGCUACAGAGUUGUCGAGCAGGUCCUGGCAAACACUGACUACUUCAGUACUGUCUUCUUUUGCAGACUCAGAGGCCUGGGUACAAAUAAGGCUAACUAGCACCUGCAACAUCAACUUUAUUAUUUUUUUAAUCUGAAAGUGUUUUGGGAAAAGUUUAAAAAAAAAAUCAACAGAAAUAUGAAAAUAUUUGACCAACUUCA